AGCAGCCGCGGUAAUUCCAGCUCCAAUAGCGUAUAUUAAAGUUGUUGCAGUUAAAAAGCUCGUAGUUGAAUUUCGGGGUCAGUAGAUUGGUCGUGCCACUGGUAUGUACUGGUCUCACUGGCUCCUCCUUCCUGAUGAACCGUAAUGCCAUUAAUUUGGUGUUGCGGGGAGACUGGACUGUUACUUUGAAAAAAUUGGAGUGUUUAAAGCAGGCUAACGCUUGAAUACAUUAGCAUGGAAUAAUAGAAUAGGACGGUGGUCCUGUUUUGUUGGUUUCUGAAUCACCGUAAUGAUUAAUAGGGAUAGUUGGGGGCAUUAGUAUUCAAUUGUCAGAGGUGAAAUUCUUGGAUUUAU
rnacentral:rRNA from 1 species